GAGUUUGAUCCUGGCUCAGGAUGAACGCUAGCUACAGGCUUAACACAUGCAAGUCGAGGGGCAGCAUGAACUUAGCUUGCUAAGUUUGAUGGCGACCGGCGCACGGGUGAGUAACACGUAUCCAACCUUCCGUUUACUCAGGGAUAGCCUUUCGAAAGAAAGAUUAAUACCUGAUAGUAUGGUGAGAUUGCAUGAUAGCACCAUUAAAGAUUUAUUGGUAAACGAUGGGGAUGCGUUCCAUUAGGUAGUAGGCGGGGUAACGGCCCACCUAGCCGACGAUGGAUAGGGGUUCUGAGAGGAAGGUCCCCCACAUUGGAACUGAGACACGGUCCAAACUCCUAUGGGAGGCAGCAGUGAGGAAUAUUGGUCAAUGGGCGAGAGCCUGAACCAGCCAAGUAGCGUGAAGGAUGAAGGUCCUACGGAUUGUAAACUUCUUUUAUACGGGAAUAAAGUAUCCUACGUGUAGGAUUUUGUAUGUACCGUAUGAAUAAGCAUCGGCUAACUCCGUGCCAGCAGCCGCGGUAAUACGGAGGAUGCGAGCGUUAUCCGGAUUUAUUGGGUUUAAAGGGAGCGCAGACGGGAGAUUAAGUCAGUUGUGAAAGUUUGCGGCUCAACCGUAAAAUUGCAGUUGAUACUGGUUUCCUUGAGUGCAGUUGAGGCAGGCGGAAUUCGUGGUGUAGCGGUGAAAUGCUUAGAUAUCACGAAGAACCCCGAUUGCGAAGGCAGCUUGCUAAACUGUAACUGACGUUCAUGCUCGAAAGUGUGGGUAUCAAACAGGAUUAGAUACCCUGGUAGUCCACACGGUAAACGAUGGAUACUCGCUGUUGGCGAUAUACUGUCAGCGGCCAAGCGAAAGCAUUAAGUAUCCCACCUGGGGAGUACGCCGGCAACGGUGAAACUCAAAUGAAUUGACGGAAGGGCGAAUUC
rnacentral:rRNA from 1 species